rnacentral:lncRNA from 1 species
GGGGUCAGCUCUUCCCCGGCGCAGCGCAGGUCCCCACUCAGCGGCGCCGCCCGAGCCGCCACCGCCAGCGGGAAGCGGAUCCCGCGCGCCACUCGACAAGAGCGCCCGCCCCGUCGCACUCUGCGCGCCGUCGGGAGCCCUGGGGCGCCCCGGCCCGUGUCCCUUUUUCUCCCGAAGUUUUCGGGACUUCCUUCGCCGCCACCGGGCCACCUUCUCCCAUCAACUCGGUCUCUCAAGGGACCCGCGACGCUAGAGCUUGACCUCUCACGUUUGGCCGGUUCAGAAAUGACUACACGCGGAGGGAAGUGAUAACACCGAGCCCGGCGAACCCACGUGUUGUGCGACUGGAAACUUAAAACAGCCAGGGGGAGGAGGUCGCACGGAGAAGACGCAGUUCGAGUCUGGCUCUUGGAAGUCUUCGGUACACAGAGGGCCCGGAGCUUAAAGCUCAUUAGCUUCACAUGCAAACUGCUGCUGCAGCCCUCCUAGGAUUGUUGUGAGGAUUCACGAGGUGAGCCCUGAGAGCCCUGCCCCGUGCCUGGCCUCGCACCAAAGGCGCUGUGUAGAGGAUUCAGGUCCCUGGGACCGGUCGGAGGGACCCGGGAAAUGCAGAAAUCACAUUGACUGCAACUAUGGGCCAGGUGUUUGAAACGCCCAGUGUGCUUAAUUUACCCACAAACAUGUGCACGUAUGCGAGAGCAUUCUGCCCGUGUCAUAGCUCCAAAAAAUAAGGCUCGGAGAAGUCGUGUAACUUGCUCAGUCUCACAAAAUUCUGCCAUAUUACAAUUCUGCCAUAUUACAGGUUUUUCCACAGUUACAUGUCACAAAUAAUAUGUAAAUUAUUACUAUGACUUCUUGUUGGGACAACAGAAGAAAUUCCCCACGAGAGAACAAAGUGCCUCAGAAAAACCUACCCACGAAUUUUCCCUGCAAAACUUCCCCACUUCAGAACCAAAGCAAAUGAAAUGUUUUUCUGCAGGUGAAGUACCUUGCUGCAAAAUCAAGAAACGGGCUUUACUCAAGUGUAUGCAGGUCAUACAUUCAUUUCUCUGCUAGCACGGCAAGUUAAAUUGUAAAAGGGUACAAGAGGAGAGUAGAAGCAAAGAAGCUAGACACAGUGGCUCACACCUGUCAUCCCUGCACCUUGGUAGGCUGAGGUAGGAGGAGCCAAAGUUUGAGCAUGGGCAAUUUAGUGAGACCCUGAAUCAAGAUUUUUAAAGGGGACAGGGAAC